rnacentral:misc_RNA from 1 species
UUAACUAUUGUAUAGUACUCAGACGACGCUGACAUUCAGAGUUUGUCGGGCCUCUGGCGGGCGCGCGCCAGCCGGAGCCGGCGGCCGGGCUGGGCCCGGCGGCCCGCCAAAGAAACACGGUAGCAAUCACAGUGGGUGGGAGAUCUACCCGCGAGGGCGAGAACUCUGUAAUGAUCCCUCCGCAGGUUCACCUACGGAGA